rnacentral:lncRNA from 1 species
CUAAAUAAUGAAUUUCACCACCAAAAACACAACAACUUCUCCAAUCAUAAAAUACCGCUCCUUCCAUAUUGAUUGUGCUUUGGCAACUAGAUGCAGUGCUAGUCUUCACUCUGCAAGGUGUUUAAAAAGAAAAACAGGUUUACCCAGGAUUUAUCAUGUAUGGAAAAAUGUAAUAUCUAAGUAGGCUGUCUGCUAAUGUCUGGCAUAAUGUUUCUUCAUAAUGGUUAACCCUUUUGCAGGGAGUGGAAUAAGAGUGCCUCUCUCUCUAGAUGGGAACUUUGCUUCAUGGGACAUUACAACUGUAUGCCUUAAGGCAGAAAAACGCAGAAAGGUAGCUGGGAAAGUAAAUUGCCAGAAGCGAAGAGCACCCUCCCUUUCAAAAUCCUGUGGCCGGGGUUUCUACACGGGGCUUGCCUUUUAGAGAAAUUGGCGCCGACGGUACCGAAGUCUCCAAAAAAAAAAAGCGAGCCCUGAGCGGUAACUGGGGCUGGUCGCUGCUUCCCCAGGUCAGGAAUUUCGCUGGAACCCACCGCAGCAAC